AACGAACGCUGGCGGCAGGCCUAACACAUGCAAGUCGAGCGCCCCGCAAGGGGAGCGGCGGACGGGUGAGUAACGCGUGGGAACGUGCCCCUUUCUACGGAAUAGCCUCGGGAAACUGGGAGUAAUACCGUAUAAGCCCUACGGGGGAAAGAUUUAUCGGGAAGGGAUCGGCCCGCGUUGGAUUAGGUAGUUGGUGGGGUAAUGGCCUACCAAGCCGACGAUCCAUAGCUGGUUUGAGAGGAUGAUCAGCCACACUGGGACUGAGACACGGCCCAGACUCCUACGGGAGGCAGCAGUGGGGAAUCUUAGACAAUGGGCGCAAGCCUGAUCUAGCCAUGCCGCGUGAGCGAUGAAGGCCUUAGGGUUGUAAAGCUCUUUCAGUGGGGAAGAUAAUGACUGUACCCACAGAAGAAGCCCCGGCUAACUCCGUG
rnacentral:rRNA from 1 species